rnacentral:ncRNA from 1 species
AACAGACCGACCCGGAAACAACUCGAGACGAAGAAGGGAGAGAAAGAUAGGUUAGAGAACGGAAGGUGAAAGCUCUAGAGGGAAGCUAGCAAAAAGAACUCUAGACCACCAAGGCAGGAGAGAGAAACCGGCCAAGGAGCUAAACAGAUUCUCAGUUUAGACACUUUCGAACUCGAACUAAGA